rnacentral:rRNA from 1 species
UACGGAGGGGGCUAGCGUUGUUCGGAAUCAUUGGGCGUAAAGAGCGUGUAGGCGGCCCGGUAAGUCCGCUGUGAAAGUCCAGGGCUCAACCCUGGGAUGCCGGUGGAUACUGUCGGGCUCGAGUCCGGAAGAGGAGUGUGGAAUUCCUGGUGUAGCGGUGAAAUGCGCAGAUAUCAGGAGGAACACCAAUGGCGAAGGCAGCACUCUGGGACGUGACUGACGCUGAGACGCGAAAGCGUGGGGAGCAAACAGG